rnacentral:rRNA from 1 species
GUUCGAGAGAGACCGCUAUCCGGGUCCGACUAAGCCAUGCGAGUCUAGGUGCCUGGAUGUUGGCACCUGGCGAACUGCUGAGUAACACCUUGCCAACCUACCCUGAGGAGGGGAAUGAGCCCGGGAAACUGGGGACAAUUCCCCAUAGGAGCCCAGGCCUGGAAUGGUUGGGCUCUGAAAGGCUUUGUGCAGAAGCACAGAGCGCCUCGGGAUGGGGCUGGGUCCUAUCAGGUCGUUGGUGAGGUAAAGGCUCACCAAGCCUAAGACGGGUAGGGGCCAUGGAAGUGGGAGCCCCCAGAUGGGUUCUGAGACAUGAACCCAGGGUCUACGGACCGCAGCAGGCGCGAAAAUUUCGCAAUGCGCGCAAGCGCGACGAAGGGACCUGGAGUGCCAAUCCUUCGGGGUUGGCUUUUCCCCAGUGUAAAAAGCUGGGGGAAUAAGGGGUGGGUAAGACGGGUGGCAGCCGCCACGGUAAUACCCGCGCCCCAAGUGGUCCUCACGAUUAUUGGGCUUAAAGGGUCCGUAGCGGGCCUUGCAAGUUCCUGGUGAAAUCUCGCAGCAAACUGCGAGGCUGGCCAGGAAUACUGUGAGGCUUGGGACCGGGAGAGGCCAGGGGUACUCUGGGGGUAGGGGUGAAAUCCGUUAAUCCCCAGGGGACCGCCAGUGGCGAAGGCGCCUGGCCAGAACGGGUCCGACCGUGAGGGACGAAACCCAGGGGAGCGAAGGGGAUUAGAUACCCCUGUAGUCCUGGGCGUAAACGAUGCUCACUAGCUGUGGGGGAAGCUGAAGGCUUUCCCUGCGGCGUAGCGAAAGCGUUAAGUGAGCCGCCUGGGGAGUACGGCCGAAAGGCUGAAACUUAAAGGAAUUGACGGGAGACACACAAGGGGUGGGCUCUCGGCU